AUAAGUCGUGGAUGGUGCAUCAAAAACUCUUUCGCAUGUUGCCAUCUUUGAACCUGCAUCUAAAGAAAACAGGUUAUCAUCAAUUUCUAGAUAUGUUAAUCAGUGUUUGACCCCCAGACAGUGUUAAUUGGUAUGCAAAUACCCUGGAGCCAGUCUAAACAUGAUGGCGUCUGGUCUGUUACCUGUAUGGAUGGUGAUUCAAUUUCUUCUAAAAAUAAGCUUGAAUCAACCCUUACUGAAUGUGCUUUGCAAUAUUACAUGGAAUGCAAAAGGUACAUUCUACCUUUCCUAUGAAGCUAAGGCAGCUGAAGAUUGAUAUGUGCAAUAUGCAGAUGAUAGGCCAGCUAUAUCCCAAAAACGAAAGUGAAUAGUCUUGGCAAAUUAACAGGAACUUUUGAAUAAUAUUCUUGUUCAAGUUGGAUUAUGAGACGUUAAUAUUGGGAUUUACUCUCAACAGGAAAAAUAUCAAGGUCCUUCUUAGAAAUUGAAAACAAAUCCAUGAAGAUAGUCUUUCAUGUAACUACUACAUACGUGUAUCAAGAAAAACAUAUUCUACUUUUGAUUCAAAAUAACUCAUUUGUUUUAACGUAGACAAAAUGCAGGAAAUACUUUGCCGUGUCUUGGGUACAUGACCACGAACGGAAUCUGAAAAUAUUUUCUUCCGAAACAAAGGCACUAUAAAAAAUCAAAAGUUAGACGAUGUUUUAAUUGACAUGUAAGUCAUCCACGCGUCUUCUCUUCCCGAUACGAAUGUCAUUCGAACCCGAGUUUAUAAUUUAUUUUUCCUGUAACCUUCUUCUUUCUUCUGUAUGUUUUUAAAGUGAAUUAAUAAACGUUAUA